rnacentral:rRNA from 1 species
GUCGGGAAUAUUGCGCAAUGGAGGAAACUCUGACGCAGUGACGCCGCGUAUAGGAAGAAGGUUUUCGGAUUGUAAACUAUUGUCGUUAGGGAAGAUACAAGACAGUACCUAAGGAGGAAGCUCCGGCUAACUACGUGCCAGCAGCCGCGGUAAUACGUAGGGAGCAAGCGUUAUCCGGAUUUAUUGGGUGUAAAGGGUGCGUAGACGGGACAACAAGUUAGUUGUGAAAUCCCUCGGCUUAACUGAGGAACUGCAACUAAAACUAUUGUUCUUGAGUGUUGGAGAGGAAAGUGGAAUUCCUAGUGUAGCGGUGAAAUGCGUAGAUAUUAGGAGGAACACCGGUGGCGAAGGCGACUUUCUGGACAAUAACUGACGUUGAGGCACGAAAGCGUGGGGAGCAAACAGGA